rnacentral:rRNA from 1 species
UACGGGGGGGGCAAGCGUUGUUCGGAAUUACUGGGCGUAAAGCGCACGUAGGCGGAUCAGCAAGUUAGGGGUGAAAUCCCGGGGCUCAACCCCGGAACUGCCUUUAAGACUGUUGGUCUGGAGUCCGAGAGAGGUGAGUGGAAUUCCGAGUGUAGAGGUGAAAUUCGUAGAUAUUCGGAGGAACACCAGUGGCGAAGGCGGCUCACUGGCUCGGUACUGACGCUGAGGUGCGAAAGCGUGGGGAGCAAACAGG